AUUGAACGCUGGCGGCAGGCCUAACACAUGCAAGUCGAACGAGUCGAGGACGGGUGUGUAAUGUCUGGGAAACUGCCCGAUGGAGGGGGACAACUUCUGGAAACGGUAGCUAAUCCUGCAUACCAUCGGUUUUUCCCAGAUGGGAUUGGAUUGUAGGUGGGGUAAAGGCUCACCUAGGCGACGACCCCUAGCUGGUCCGGGAGGAUGACCAGACACACUGGAACUGAGACACGGUCCAGACUCCUACGGGAGGCAGAAGUGGGGAAUAUUGCACAAUGGGCGCAAGCCUGAUCCAGCCAUACCGCGUGGGUGAAGAAGGCCUUCGGGUUGUAAAGUCCUUUUGUUGGGCAAGCGGUACCCAAAGAAGAAGCACCGGCUAACUUCGUGCCAGCCGCCGCGGUAAUAC
rnacentral:rRNA from 1 species